rnacentral:tRNA from 1 species
UGGAGAUAAGCGGACUCGAACCGCUGACAUCCGCCACGACCCAAUUGCAAGAGCGGAGCUCUACCAA